GAUGAACGCUGGCGGCGUGCCUAAUACAUGCAAGUCGAGCGAACGGACGAGAAGCUUGCUUCUCUGAUGUUAGCGGCGGACGGGUGAGUAACGCGUGGAUAACCUACCUAUAAGACUGGGAUAACUUCGGGAAACCGGAGCUAAUACCGGAUAAUAUUUUGAACCGCAUGGUUCAAAAGUGAAAGACGGUCUUGCUGUCACUUAUAGAUGGAUCCGCGCUGCAUUAGCUAGUUGGUAAGGUAACGGCUUACCAAGGCAACGAUGCAUAGCCGACCUGAGAGGGUGAUCGGCCACACUGGAACUGAGACACGGUCCAGACUCCUACGGGAGGCAGCAGUAGGGAAUCUUCCGCAAUGGGCGAAAGCCUGGCGGAGCAACGCCGCGUGAGUGAUGAAGGUCUUCGGAUCGUAAAACUCUGUUAUUAGGGAAGAACAUAUGUGUAAGUAACUGUGCACAUCUUGACGGUACCUAAUCAGAAAGCCACGGCUAACUACGUG
rnacentral:rRNA from 1 species